CCUCACCCUUCUCUCUCUCUCUACGUUCUCUCUCUUCUCUCUUGUCUCUCUCUCGCUCUCCUCCGGCGGACGUCGCCGGUUUUCGCCGCCGCGAGGCCGGCGCCUUUUCUUCUCCCUCUUUCCUUCCUCUAUUUUCUCCCAAAUUCUCGAACUACAAACUUCCUAGGGUUUUUAAAUUUUUCCAUUUCAGAUCUGCAAGUCGGUGGAAAUUUUCCCAUUUCAGAUCUGCAAGUCGGUGGAGGAUUGGGAGGACGAAAGCUGCAAGUCGCCGCCGCCAGUCGCGCCUCUCUAUCCCUCGCUCGAUCCCCCAUCUCUCUCUGUUGUUGCUGUGCUGGUGAAGUUGCAGAGAAUUCCAACCCCCAAAUCCAUUUCUCCGACCUCCCCUUCUCCGCCGCGACGAAAGCUGCAAGUCGCCGCCGCCAGUCGCGCCUCUCUAUCCCUCGCUCAAUCCCCCAUCUCUCUCUGUUGUUGCUGUGCUGGUGAAGUUGUAGAGAAUUCCAACCCCCAAAUCCAUUUCUCCGACCUCCCCUUCUCCGCCGCCGAUCAUGGCCUCCCUCCGGACACAGAGAACUCGGAGGCCGUACCCCUCCACCUCCUCGCCACCCUCUUCCGCGCCUCCACCUCCCUCCAACCCCCUUUCCGCGCCCUAAUCCGCGAUAUAACCGCCAGAGACGGCGCCCCGCCGCUCUGCAUAAUCUCCGACUUCUUCAUGGGCUGGGCUAACGAGGUCGACGAAUCCUCCGGUGGAAUUAAGGUAAAAACGACGCCGUUUUACCCCCAAUGAAACGACGUCGUUUU
rnacentral:lncRNA from 1 species